GGUCAGGGAUCAGCCACCUCCGGCACGCCAGCUGUUCAGAAACUACAACUCCCAGAAUGCUUCAUUCACUUCUAUUGGAGUUAGAACAGCCAAGCAUGUUUGCAUGCUGGAAGUUGUAGUUUCACAACAGCUGGAGUG